CUGCCUCAUCACCGCCAGACUUAAGCUGAGGCCCGCUGGCUCUCUGGCAGGGUGUAGAACUGAGCCCAGGCUACACUAUGCUGUUCAUGCUCUGUGCUUGUGCCAAGAGGGCAAUGGCAGUUUCCUGUGUUCUCCUGCACACUGGGCAGAAGAUGCCCCUGAUUUGUCUGGGUACCUGGAAGAGUGAGCCUGGUCAGGUAAAAGCAGCGGUUAAGUAUGCCCUUAGUGUAGGCUACUGCCACAUUGACUGUGCUGCUAUCUACGGCAGUGAGCCUGAGACUGGGGAGGCCCUGAAAGAGGACAUGGGACCAGGCAAGGCAGUGCCUUGGGAGGAGCUGUUUGUGACAUCCAAGCUGUGGAACACCAAGCACCACCCCGAGGAUGUCGAGCCUGCCCUCCAGAAGACUCUGGCUGACCUCCAGCUGGAGUAUCUGGACCUGUACCUGAUGCACUGGCCUUAUGCCUUCGAGCGGGGAGACAAUCCCUUCCCCAAGAAUGCUGGUGGGACUAUACGCUAUGACUCCACCCACUACAAGGAGACUUGGAGGGCUCUGGAGGCAUUGGUAGCUAAGGGGCUGGUGUGAGCUCUGGGCCUGUCCAACUUCAACAGUCAGCAGAUUGAUGACAUACGCAGUGUGGCCUCCGUGAGUCCAGCUGCCUUGCAGGUAGAAUGCCACCCAUACUUGGCUUAGAAUGAGCUAAUUGCCCACUGCCAAGCACGUGGCCUGGAGGUAACUGCUUAUAGCCCUUUGGGCUCCUCUGAUCAUGCAUGGUGCGAUCCUAAUGAACCUGUCCUGGAGGAACCAGUAGUCCUGGCAUUGGCUGAAAAAUAUAGCCAAUCUCCAGCUCAGAUCUUGCUCAGGUGGCAGGCCCAGCGGAAAGUGAUCUGCAUCCCCAAAAGUAUCACUCCUUCUCAAAUCCUUCAGAACAUCAAGGUGUUUGACUUCACCUUUGGCUCGGAAGAGAUGAAGCAGCCAAAUGUCCUGAACAAAAACUGGCAACGUAUUGUGUCUGUGCUUACGGUGGAUGGGAAAAGAGUCCUAAGGGGUGCAGGGCAUCCUCUGUACCCCUUUAAUGACCCGUACUGAAACCACAGCUUCUUGGCCUUCC